GAUGAACGCUGACAGAAUGCUUAACACAUGCAAGUCGAUUCGAUUUACCUUCGGGUAUUGAGGAUGGCGGACGGGUGAGUAACGCGUAAGGAACUUGCCUCUUGGACUGGGACAACUGUUGGAAACGACAGCUAAUACCGGAUAUUAUGAGAUUCUCGCAUGGGAAACUUAUGAAAGCUAUAUGCGCCAAGAGAGAGCCUUGCGUUCCAUUAGCUAGUUGGUGGGGUAAUGGCCCACCAAGGCGACGAUGGAUAGCCGGCCUGAGAGGGUGAACGGCCACAAGGGGACUGAGACACGGCCCUUACUCCUACGGGAGGCAGCAGUGGGGA
rnacentral:rRNA from 1 species